UACGAAGGGGGCUAGCGUUGUUCGGAAUUACUGGGCGUAAAGCGUGCGCAGGCGGCUUCUCAAGUCAGGGGUGAAAGCCCAGAGCUUAACUCUGGAAUUGCCUUUGAGACUGAGAGGCUUGAGUACGGGAGAGGUGAGUGGAAUUCCCAGUGUAGAGGUGAAAUUCGUAGAUAUUGGGAAGAACACCGGUGGCGAAGGCGGCUCACUGGCCCGUAACUGACGCUCCAUGCACGACAGCGUGGGGAUCAAACAGG
rnacentral:rRNA from 1 species